rnacentral:tRNA from 1 species
GCCGAAGUGGCGGAAUCGGUAGACGCAGCGGACUCAAAAUCCGCCGCCCUUGAAAGCGUGUGGGUUCGAGUCCCACCUUCGGCACCA